AAGAAGGUGCUUGUUUCUUCUUUGCCUUCUGCCAUGAUUGCCAUGUGAAUCGCACCCCUGGAACUGUGCAGGGCCCACCUGUGUGGCCACACGCAGUGACCCUGAGCAAAGGAGUGACCACAGAAGUGCAUGGCAAAGCAGAAAGGUGUGACGUCUUGGAGGACGCGGGAGGAAAGCACGCCCAGCGGACAGGAGCCAUCACGCGGCUGCGGGCUGCUGCUGAGAACCUGGCGUGGGCCACCGUCGUCAGCAGCGUGGAGGGCCAUUCUGCUGGUUCACUCCUGGAGAGAGGUCCAGAGUAAGCUUCUAAUGACCAAGGAGACAGAUUUAUCCCACGAUGUGGUGCUGUCUACCAUCACGGAAGUAACAAAUAAAAGAAGACAAAGAAGACAAGA
rnacentral:lncRNA from 10 species